rnacentral:rRNA from 1 species
AGGAUGAACGCUGGCGGCGUGCCUAACACAUGCAAGUCGAACGUCCUGUCUCGCAAGAGGCAGGGAGUGGCGGACGGGUGAGUACCACGUGGGUUAUCUACCGUGAGGUGAGGAAUACCGGCGAGAAAUCGCCGACAAGACCGCAUAGCCUCGGUGCAAGCCGAGCAAAGCUCUUUCGAGAGAGGGAGCGCCACACGAGGAGCCUGCGCCCGAUUAGCUAGCUGGUGGAGUAACGGUUCACCAGGGCGACGAUCGGUAGCUGGUCUGAGAGGACGAUCAGCCACACUGGGAUUGAGAACGGCCCAGACUCCUACGGGGGGCAGCAGUGAGGAAUUUUCGUCAAUGGGGGCAACCCUGAACGAGCAACGCCGCGUGCAGGAAGAAGGUUUUCGGAUCGUAAACUGCUUUUCGUCGGGGAAGAGAACGGACGGUACCCGAGGAAUCAGCCCCGGCUAACUACGCGCCAGCAGCCGCGGUAA